AAGUCCCAGAGAGCAUCAACAUUUAUGGGUGGAGCCGGCAGAAAGAGCACACACAAACAAAGCUCCGCCCAGAAAAAGAAAGAAGGGCGGGAAAGGAAAAGGAGUGACUUCCGAAAAUUGGAUUGUUUUGAUGAGAAAAAGAGGUGAA
ensembl:ncRNA R12B2.11 ncRNA